UACAGAGGUCUCGAGCGUUAGUCGGAUUCAUUGGGCUUAAAGCGUACGUAGGCGGAUAUGCAGGCGUCGUGUGAAAGCCCUCGGCUCAACCGAGGAAUUGCACGGCGAACCGCAUGUCUUGAGAUCGGUAGGGGCGGUCGGAACGAUAGGUGGAGUGGUGAAAUGCGUUGAUAUCUAUCGGAACGCCGAAGGUGAAAACAGGCCGCUGGGCCGAUUCUGACGCUGAGGUACGAAAGUGUGGGGAGCGAACAGG
rnacentral:rRNA from 1 species